rnacentral:rRNA from 1 species
AGAGUUUGAUCCUGGCUCAGGAUGAACGCUGGCGGCGUGCUUAAUACAUGCAAGUCGAACGGAGAGUGUAGCAAUACAGUCUUAGUGGCGAACGGGUGAGUAACGCGUUGGUGACCUGCCCCAAAGUGAGGGAUAACAGUUCGAAAGGACUGCUAAUACCCCAUGUGGUUUUAGAGAUUAGAGGCUUUAAAACUAAAGGUGCAAACCGCUUUGGGAGGGACCUGCGUCCCAUCAGCUAGUUGGUAGGGUAACGGCCUACCAAGGCGACGACGGGUAGGGGACCUGAGAGGGUGGCCCCCCACACUGGCACUGAAACACGGGCCAGACACCUACGGGUGGCAGCAGUAGGGAAUAUUGCACAAUGGGCGAAAGCCUGAUGCAGCAACGCCGCGUGCGCGAUGAAGGCCUUCGGGUCGUAAAGCGCUUUUCGGGGAGAUGAGGAAGGACAGUAUCCCCGGAAUAAGUCUCGGCUAACUACGUGCCAGCAGCCGCGGUAACACGUAGGAGGCAAGCGUUAUCCGAAUUUACUGGGCGUAAAGCGCGUGCAGGCGGUUCGGUAAGUUGGAUGUGAAAUCUCCUGGCUCAACUGGGAGAGGUCGUUCAAUACUGUCGGACUAGAGGAUGGUAGAGGGAGGUGGAAUUCCCGGUGUAGUGGUGAAAUGCGUAGAUAUCGGGAGGAACACCAGUGGCGAAAGCGGCCUCCUGGACCAUUCCUGACGCUCAGACGCGAAAGCUAGGGGAGCGAACGGGAUUAGACACCCCGGUAGUCCUAGCUGUAAACGAUCUGGACUUGGCGUCGGUGGGGUAAAAGCCAUCGGUGGCGGAACUAACGCGGUAAUCCACCGCUGAGGGACUACGGCCGAAAGGUUAUAACUCAAAAGAAUUGUCGGUGUCCCCGCACGAGCAGCGGAGCGGGUGGUUUAAUUCGAUGAUACACGAAAAACCUUACCCGGGUUUGACAUAUAAGUAGUAGGAAUAAGAAAGGUGACCGACCCUUCGGGGAGCUUAUACAGGUGCUGCAUGGCUGUCGUCAGCUCGUGCCGUGAGGUGUCCGGAUUAAGUCCGGUAACGAGCGCAACCCUCACUGUAUGUUACAAGUGUCAUACGGAACUACCGGUAUCAAGCCGGAGGAAGGUGGGGAUGACGUCAAGUCAGCAUGGCCUUUAUAUCCGGGGCUACACACACGCUACAAUGGCCAGUACAAUAGGUUUGCAAGACCGUAAGGUGGAGCCAAUCCUUAAAGCUGGUCUCAGUUCAGAUUGUAGGCUGCAACCCGCCUACAUGAAGUCGGAGUUGCUAGUAACCGCAGGCCAGCCAUACUGCGGUGAAUACAAUAUCGGGGAUUGCACUCACCGCCCGUCA